rnacentral:rRNA from 1 species
ACGCUCGACACCUACGGGAGCAGCAGUCGGGAAUAUUGCGCAAUGGAGGAAACUCUGACGCAGUGACGCCGCGUAUAGGAAGAAGGUUUUCGGAUUGUAAACUAUUGUCGUUAGGGAAGAGAAAGGACAGUACCUAAGGAGGAAGCUCCGGCUAACUACGUGCCAGCACGCCGGACGGUAAUCUGAGGCCGGGUCUGGACGAAGGC